GUGGGGAAUAUUGCGCAAUGGGGGAAACCCUGACGCAGCAACGCCGCGUGAGUGAGGAAGGACUUCGGUCUGUAAAGCUCUGUUAAUGUGGAAAAAUGGUAGUUGGUCUAAUAGGCCGAUUAUUUGAUGGUACACAUAGAGGAAGCACCGGCUAACUUCGUGCCAGCAGCCGCGGUAAUACGAAGGGUGCAAGCGUUGUUCGGAUUUAUUGGGCGUAAAGCGCGCGUAGGCGGACCUGCAAGUCAGAUGUGAAAUCUCGGGGCUCAACCCCGAAACUGCGUCUGAAACUACAGGUCUAGAAUCUUGGAGGGGGAAGGGGAAUAUCGCAUGUAGGGGUAAAAUCCGUAGAUAUGCGAUGGAACACCAGAGGCGAAGGCGCCUUCCUGGACAAGUAUUGACGCUGAGGCGCGAAAGCGUGGGGAGCAAACAGGAUUAGAAACCCCUGUAGUCC
rnacentral:rRNA from 1 species